CCUACGGGAGGCAGCAGUAGGGAAUUUUCGGCAAUGGGGGGAACCCUGACCGAGCAACGCCGCGUGAACGAAGAAGUUAUUCGUAAUGUAAAGUUCUUUUAACAGGGAAGAAAGAGAACUUUGACGGUACCUGAAGAAUAAGCUCCGGCUAACUACGUGCCAGCAGCCGCGGUAAUACGUAGGGAGCGAGCGUUAUCCGGAAUUAUUGGGCGAAAAGGGUGCGUAGAUGGCAUAGUAAGUCUUUUGUAAAAAUGCUGGGCUCAACCCAGUAGGGCAAAAGAUACUGCAAAGCUAGAGUAUGACAGAGGCAAGUGGAACUACAUGGGUAGCGGUAAAAUGCGUAAAUAUAUGUAAGAACACCAGUGGCGAAGGCGGCUUGCUGGGUCGAUACUGACAUUGAGGCACGAAAGCGUGGGGAGCAAACAGGAUUAGAUACCCCUGUAGUC
rnacentral:rRNA from 1 species